GAAGUCGCCCAUGUUCUUUUCGCUUGAUACGUGACGAAACAAACAUGGUGCACUUCUU
rnacentral:precursor_RNA from 1 species